AGAGUUUGAUCCUGGCUCAGGAUGAACGCUGGCGGCAUGCCUAAUACAUGCAAGUCGAACGGAGCGAAUAUGGAAGCUUGCUUCUGUAAGAGCUCAGUGGCGAACGGGUGAGUAACACGUAGGUAACCUGCCCAUGUGCCCGGGAUAACUGCUGGAAACGGUAGCUAAAACCGGAUAGGUGAAUAGGAGGCAUCUCGUAUUCAUUAAAGGACCUGCAAAGGUGCGAACAUGGAUGGACCUGCGGCGCAUUAGCUGGUUGGAGUGGUAACGGCACACCAAGGCGACGAUGCGUAGCCGACCUGAGAGGGCGAACGGCCACAUUGGGACUGAGACACGGCCCAAACUCCUACGGGAGGCAGCAGUAGGGAAUUUUCGUCAAUGGGGGGAACCCUGAACGAGCAAUGCCGCGUGAGUGAAGAAGGUCUUCGGAUCGUAAAGCUCUGUUGUAAGUGAAGAACGGUCAGUAGAGGAAAUGAUACUGAAGUGACGGUAGCUUACCAGAAAGCCACGGCUAACUACGUGCCAGCAGCCGCGGUAAUACGUAGGUGGCGAGCGUUAUCCGGAAUCAUUGGGCGUAAAGGGUGCGCAGGUGGUACAUUAAGUCCGAAGUAAAAGGCAGCAGCUCAACUGCUGUUGGCUUUGGAAACUGGUGAACUGGAGUGCAGGAGAGGGCGAUGGAAUUCCAUGUGUAGCGGUAAAAUGCGUAGAUAUAUGGAGGAACACCAGUGGCGAAGGCGGUCGCCUGGCCUGCAACUGACACUGAGGCACGAAAGCGUGGGGAGCAAAUAGGAUUAGAUACCCUAGUAGUCCACGCCGUAAACGAUGAGAACUAAGUGUUGGGGAGACUCAGUGCUGCAGUUAACGCAAUAAGUUCUCCGCCUGGGGAGUAUGCACGCAAGUGUGAAACUCAAAGGAAUUGACGGGGGCCCGCACAAGCGGUGGAGUAUGUGGUUUAAUUCGAAGCAACGCGAAGAACCUUACCAGGCCUUGACAUGGAUGUAAAUGCCCUAGAGAUAGGGAGAUAGCUAUACAUCACACAGGUGGUGCAUGGUUGUCGUCAGCUCGUGUCGUGAGAUGUUGG
rnacentral:rRNA from 1 species